AAGUCGUAACAAGGUUUCCGUAGGUGAACCUGCGGAAGGAUCAUUACCAAAACGAUAGAAGGAUGGUCGCUCAAGCACUGUCGUUGCCCACGACGCCGCGGGGCCCAUCCAACUAUUGCACCCUUUGUCUUUGCGUACUGUAUGUUUCCUCGGUGGGCUCGCCCGCCGAUAGGACAUUUAUAAACUCUUUGUAAUUGCAAUCAGCGUCAGAAACAACUAUAAUAGUUACAACUUUCAACAACGGAUCUCUUGGUUCUG
rnacentral:misc_RNA from 1 species